rnacentral:rRNA from 1 species
GACCAAGGAGUCUAACAUGUGCGCGAGUCACGGGGUCUUGUUCAGGCCCACGGGCGCAAUGAAAGUGAGGGCCGCUCGCGGCCGACGUCGGGACUCUCCGCCGAGAGGCGGGGAAGCACCGACGACCCGUUCCGUCCGGCACGCCGGUCGAGCGGAGUCGGAGCGCACACGUUGGGACCCGAAAGAUGGUGAACUAUGCCUGGGCAGGACGAAGCCAGAGGAAACUCUGGUGGAGGUCCGUAGCGGUUCUGACGUGCAAAUCGAUCGUCAGACCCGGGUAUAGGGGCGAAAGACUAAUCGAACCGUCUAGUAGCUGGUUCCCUCCGAAGUUUCCCUCAGGAUAGCUGGCGCUCGGGAAACAGUCUCAUCCGGUAAAGCGAAUGAUUAGAGGCCUUGGGGCCGAAACGACCUCAACCUAUUCUCAAACUUUAAAUGGGUGAGAAGUCCGCCUUGCACGAGCGAAGGCCGGACGUGCCCAGGAUGCAGAGCGCCCAGUGGGCCACUUUU